UAAUACGUAGGGGGCAAGCGUUGUUCGGAAUUACUGGGCGUAAAGGGCGCGUAGGCGGCACGGCAAGUCGGGAGUGAAAGGCCUGGGCUCAACCCAGGAACUGCUUUCGAGACUGCCGAGCUAGAGUGCGGAAGGGGCAACUGGAAUUCCCAGUGUAGCGGUGAAAUGCGUAGAUAUUGGGAAGAACACCGGAGGCGAAGGCGGGUUGCUGGGCCGACACUGACGCUGAGGCGCGAAAGCCAGGGGAGCAAACGGGAUUAGAUACCCCGGUAGUCCUGGCCCUAAACGAUGGAUACUUGGUGUGUGGGGUUCUUCGAGUCCCCGCGUGCCGGAGCUAACGCGGUAAGUAUCCCGCCUGGGGAGUACGGUCGCAAGGCUG
rnacentral:rRNA from 1 species